rnacentral:lncRNA from 1 species
AAAACCAAGCCUGGAGACCAUGACGAUCUCCCUGUCAUAGAGCUGACGCCCGUCAGCAUCUCAAGGUGCAUGAUGGGUAACUCGUCAUCUGGGUGACGCCCGUCACCCUGCACCAGAAGGAAAAAACACUAAUUCUUCCAUGAGAGUUACCUUGAACUUUGAUUUAUGAUCCCUAAUCAUUCCCACACGCCCAAAAAAUGAUAAUGCAUGUAAUAACAUCAUUAUAACAUACCAAAUCAUUGAAUUACACAAAUUAUUCAUGAACUUCAACACAUUCAUGUUUAUGUUCAAACCUUCAACAACCCCAACAAUGACAUACAAACAUAUACACAUAAACAUAAUCAUAUAUACACAAAUCAAAUCACGAAAUUUAGAUGAACACACCUUUAAUUAUCAAUUUCCAGAACCACAUAUAACAACAACAAUUCAUAAGCAUUUCACAUAAUUCCUAAAGAGAGUAAGAGUAUCUCUUCUCUAUCUUUUCAUGCAAUACAUGCAUAUAGAAGCCCCCUCCCCCCCUUUAUGUUAGGUUCCUUGCAAAAAUCUGAAUUGGUGAUGGUGUGUUCUUCCCUUUCCAAGCCCUAGUCUCAUUUGCUCUUCCAAACUCUAUUUAACGUACUGACAACCCUUAGGUCUCUAAUCCGUUUUUAUCUAAUUUAAUCUUUAGGUAAUUAUACUAAGACCCAAUUCUUUUUAAAAUUUUCACUAUUUCCCUUUUGUUCCUAUUUUCCACCCAUAAACUUAUAUUUCUAUUUAUUUUAAUUAAUUAAUAAAAACAAUUAUUCAUUCUAAUUAUUUAUAAUUAUUCUAAUUCUCCUAAUCCUUCUAUCACCCCAUCAAUGCUCUCACCACACCCUACCACAUAUACAUACCACUCAAUAUAUUUAAUUAAAAAUAUAUCACAUACUAAAUAAUUAAAUAAAAAUACGAAUAAUCUGACUAAAUCAAUUAAUCAAAUCUAGGGGUGUUACAUAGUUGAAGAAGAAGAAGAAGAUGAAAGUGAUACACAGUCUGAUUAUCUGUUGAACACCAACAGUGAAGAUGGUAAUCAUCAAGCGCCAUUACCUCCAAGUCACGUAUAUUGUCUACCACAAUAUAUGACAAACUUGAACUUGAAUGGUGAUGAGUCAUCCUCUAAUAUUUUUUACAAUCCAUAUAUGCGGUUAGAGGGUGAGUUAAAAGUGGGAGACAGGUUCCACACUAAAGAAGAGUGAAUGUGAGCUAUCAAAAAAUUUCACAUGGAGAACUCUGUUGAUUAUACCGUAGAUCACACUAAUGCAAGAAGAUAUGUCAUUCUUUGUCGUAAUGUGCUUUGCAUGUUUCGACUAGCACCGUCUUACAGGAAGAUAAUUGAUUCAUGGGAGAUAAGUUAUAUACAUUUAUCUCACAAUUGAACCGCCACUAUUAUUGCACAUGAUCACCAUAAAUUAAACUCUAAAAUAAUAUGUCAAGACAUUUUGUCUUUUGUUAGCAAGGAGCCAUCAAUGAAGGUAAGUAUACUAAUCUUUCAUAUUGUUACAUGAUAUAAUUAUAAUCCCUCAUACAAGAAAGUGUGGAUUGCAAGAAAAAAUGCUAUUGAACGAGUAUACGAAAAUUAGAAGGAUUCGUACAAAAAAAAAUCCACAAUAAUUGGUGACACUUAAGACAUAUACUCUGGGAACUGUUACAAUUUUGAAGACACGGUCGGCAUAUACGCCGUACAGAACUUGUGUCAGUGGAAAUAUAAUAUUUCAUCGAUUCUUUUUAGGCAUUUCAACCAUGCAUCAAAGAUUUUGCGUUUUGCAAACUUAUUCCUAAAAUUGAUGGAACAUGGUUGUACGGGAAAUACAAGGGCACAUUACUUAUGACAGGGGCACAAGACGACAACAAUAAUAUAUUUCCCAUUGCCUUCGCUCUGAUUGAAGGUGAGACUUUGAGUGGUUAGAGUUUCUUUCUCAAGAAUCUCAUAACAUAUGUUGCUCCACAAUCCAACCUCUGUUUGAUUUCAGACAGACAUGCAUCUAUUGAGAGUGUGUAUAAUAAUCCUGAGAAUGGAUGACAAAAUCCUCCUUCUAGCCAUGUCUACUGCAUUAGACAUAUUGCACAAAACUUCAUGCGAGAAAUCAGAGACAAGAACCUUUGGAAAAAAUGUUGUGAUUGUAGUGUACUCCCUCCGUCCCAUAUUAUAAGCAAAUUUCACCUUUCUAGAUUCAUUAAAUAAUUAAUGUAUCUGGUUUAUUAUAUAGAUCAGAUACAUUAAUUAUUUAAUGAAUCUAAAAAGGUGAAAUUUACAAAUUUCACCUUUCUAGAUUCAUUAAAUAAUUAAUGUAUCUGGUUUAUUAUAUAGAUCAGAUACAUUAAUUAUUUAAUGAAUCUAAAAAGGUGAAAUUUGCUUAUAAUAUGGGACGGAGGGAGUAUGCUUUAAUUCAGCCAUCAUUCCGACACUAUCGUAGGGAAAUUAGAUUGUCAAAUGCGGAUGCAUUAAUGUGUGUGGAUAACAUUCCAUUGGAGAAGUGGAUAAUGGAAUUUGACGAAGGACGCCGAUGGGGCCACAUGACAAUAAACCUUGUUCAGUCCAUGAACAACUUCUUCAAAGACAUUAGAAACCUAUCAAUAAUCGCGUUGGUGAGAGCAAUAUAUUUUAGGUUGGGAUCACUUUUUACAUCCAUAGGCAAAAAAUGGAGUUCGGUGUUACGGUUGAGACAAUUAUUCAGUAAAAGUUGCAUGAAAGUGAUGAAGGGGGAAACUAUCAAAGCUAGCACACAUGGGGUUACAAUCUUUGACCGUCGUAGACACAGUUUUAGUGUAAAAGAAAUAAUGGACCACAAUGAGGGGAGGCCGAAUGAAGACUAUCAGAUCGAACUAAAUAGAGGUUGGUGCGAUUGUGGCAAGUUUCAAGCCUUAUGUAUGUCUUGCUCCGAUGUCAUUGCGACAUAUUCAUAUGCUCGCCAUAACACUUCCAAGCAUGUAUCUGCCGUUUACAAAGUCGCAAAUGUAUUCAAUGUAUACAACAAUAACUUCCCGAUGAUAGUAAAAGGGGACUAUUUACCUACAUAUCAAGGGAACAUAAUUUGAUGCGAUAAAAAUAUGCGACAGAAGAAAAAAUAUCGCUCCAACAGCACAUAUAUUAAAACAAAAAUUGAUAUAACUAAUAAAAUGGUAAUAUUAAAAUAAAUUUGCAUGAUAAUUUUUUUUCUUUAAAUUUUUAUAACCUUAUUAUUUUAUAUAUAUAUAUAUAUAUAUAUAUAUUAAUUUUUGGUUACAACAAAAAUAACAUAAACACUCUAUCAAUAAUUAAGUUAAGAAAGCAUAAAAUUAAUUAAGCUUAAUCUUUAGUAUAUUUAAUAAUCCAAUAAAGAAAAUUUAAAAACACAUUGAAAUAUCAACACCGUUUGAUUUCCAUCAAACAAAAGCACUUGAAAUCUCAACUCCAUGAGACACACAAUUUCACAAAAUCUCAAAUCUCUUAUCCAACCCAAGUGAGAUAACAAAACACAAAGUAUCAUAAAUCACCACCAAUAACAACAAUCCAUCUCAGCAUCUUUACUUCUCUCACCUUAUCCAAAAUCCAUUUUCCCACCACCAAUUUCUCUCCACACAGAAUCUAAAAACCUUCUCUUCUUCUCUUUCCAAUAUCAUCACACAAAUCAAAUCCAUCACACACAAACACCAUUCUUUUUUCCUCACAAAAAAAUGUCUCUCACCAUUCCAACUAACCUCUCGAAACCCACCUCAACCCUAAGACCCAAACUCACCCAAAAACCAAAACUCUCCACCAUCAUCCACUGCAGCACAAACCAAACCCCAAACAAUCAAACCGACCAUGCAAACUCAAAUCUAAAAGCCUUCUCCGCUGCACUAGCCCUCUCCUCAAUCCUCAUCUCAUCCCCACUCCCGGCCGUCGCCGACAUCUCCGGCUUAACCCCAUGCAAAGAAUCAAAACAGUUCGCCAAACGCGAAAAACAGUCAAUCAAAAAACUCGAGUCCUCC